UACGUAGGGCGCAAGCGUUGUCCGGAAUUAUUGGGCGUAAAGAGCUCGUAGGCGGUUUGUCGCGUCUGCUGUGAAAACCUGAGGCUCAACCUCGGGCUUGCAGUGGGUACGGGCAGACUAGAGUGCGGUAGGGGUGACUGGAAUUCCUGGUGUAGCGGUGGAAUGCGCAGAUAUCAGGAGGAACAACGAUGGCGAAGGCAGGUCACUGGGCCGCAACUGACGCUGAGGAGCGAAAGCAUGGGGAGCGAACAGG
rnacentral:rRNA from 1 species